rnacentral:rRNA from 1 species
UGUCCGGCCACACUGGGACUGAGAUACGGCCCAGACUCCUACGGGAGGCAGCAGUGGGGAAUAUUGCAUAAUGGGCGCAAGCCUGAUGCAGCGACGCCGCGUGGGGGAUGACGGCCUUCGGGUUGUAAACCUCUUUCACCAUUGGCGAAGCCUUGGAGUUUUCUCUUGGGUGACGGUAGGUGGAGAAGAAGCACCGGCCAACUACGUGCCAGCAGCCGCGGUAAUACGUAGGGUGCGAGCGUUGUCCGGAAUUACUGGGCGUAAAGAGCUCGUAGGUGGUUUGUCGCGUUGUUCGUGAAAUCUCACGGCUUAACUGUGAGCGCGCGGGCGAUACGGGCAGACUGGAGUACUGCAGGGGAGACUGGAAUUCCUGGUGUAGCGGUGGAAUGCGCAGAUAUCAGGAGGAACACCGGUGGCGAAGGCGGGUCUCUGGGCAGUAACUGACGCUGAGGAGCGAAAGCGUGGGGAGCGAACAGGAUUAGAUACCCUGGUAGUCCACGCCGUAAACGGUGGGUACUAGGUGUGGGUUUCCUUCCUUGGGAUCCGUGCCGUAGCUAACGCAUUAAGUACCCCGCCUGGGGAGUACGGCCGCAAGGCUAAAACUCAAAGGAAUUGACGGGGGCCCGCACAAGCGGCGGAGCAUGUGGAUUAAUUCGACGCAACGCGAAGAACCUUACCUGGGUUUGACAUGCACAGGACGCCGGUAGAGAUAUCGGUUCCCUUGUGGUCUGUGUGCAGGUGGUGCAUGGCUGUCAUCAGCUCGUGUCGUGAGAUGUUGGGUUAAGUCCCGCAACGAGCGCAACCCUCGUCUCAUGUUGCCAGCGCGUUAUGGCGGGGACUCGUGAGAGACUGCCGGGGUCAACUCGGAGGAAGGUGGGGAUGACGUCAAGUCAUCAUGCCCCUUAUGUCCAGGGCUUCACACAUGCUACAAUGGCCGGUACAAAGGGCUGCGAUGCCGUGAGGUUAAGCGAAUCCUUUAAAGCCGGUCUCAGUUCGGAUCGGGGUCUGCAACUCGACCCCGUGAAGUCGGAGUCGCUAGUAAUCGCAGAUCAGA